ACGUCGUUCCCGGAACGUGGAUCGAGUUGGCCCGCUUCCACAUUACGGCCUGUGGCAAGGAAUUUGGUUCUCGAGAUCGAGCAUUGUCAAAUCCUGCUCGGCGAGGUCACCCGAAUCCUCAAUUGCAG
rnacentral:sRNA from 1 species